rnacentral:lncRNA from 1 species
CUUAUGAGGUUGGACAAUGCUGCAGUCAUCCAGGGUGGGAGGAUCCACUUCCAAAACGUCUCACUCACAUGACUAUUGGCAGAAAGCCUCAGUUCCUUGAAAAUGUGGACUUCUCUGCAGGCCUUCUGGAGUGUCCUCCUGACAGCAACUGGCCUUUCCCAGAGAGAGUGAUCCAACAGAGAGAGCAAGUAGGAUAUAGCUGCGCCUUUCAUGACAGCCUCAGAAGCCACAAAUCACCGUGUCUGCUAUGUUUUAUUCAUCAGAAGUGAGUCGCUGAGUCCAACCAUAUUCACAGGGAGGCAAAGACCUCAGAUGGACAGAAUUCAACUCAUCACAUUUCUUGGUUCUUGACACGCUCUCCUCGUUAGUCCAUCACAUAUUGCACGGAUUCAUUCAUAUCGCUGCAUGUAGGCUGCUUUGACCUGCUGUAGAAUAUCUCAUUGUGUGGAUGCACAUGUGGAUCACUGAGUAUGUCAGAGCUGGCAAGAUACGUCAGAAGAGAAAGGAGAAACUCUUAACUAAAUAGAGUUGGAAAUAAAAUAAUUGUCUGUAUGGAAUAAGAUCAAAGGUCCCACAUGUUAAAGUCAACCCCAGAUGAAUUAAAGUCUUACAUGUCAAAAAAAAUUGAAACUUUUAGAAGAAAAUUAAGGUGGAUAUAUUUUAGACCUUAAGGUAGAGAAAGAUUUCUUAAAGAAGACACUUACAGGAUUGAUUACAAACAAAAAGACUGGUACAUUUGAAUGUAUUAUGUUAAGAACUUUUCCACCAAAAGAAAGCCUCGAUUUCCUCAUUUUUAAGAUGAGGAUAAUAAUCCCUACCUUAUAGAAUUCUAAUAAGAUGAAAUGAAGCAACAUAUACAAAAUACUUAGCACAGAUCCUAACACCUACAAAAUAAUAAAUGGUAACGAUUAUUAUUCUUCUCAAACAACAAUCCUAUUAUUUAUCAAAUAAUACUGAGUAAUAUGACAAGACAUAUUUAAACCACACAAGCCAUAUGCAGACAAGUGUUUAAUAUCAUAGUGAUAGUUUCAAGAGAGAGAUAAUAAUUUAUUCUACAUUUAUCAGAGGUCUAUAGCCCAGUAGUCAAUAAAUACUUAUCUAUAGUCAAUAAGUACUAUCAAGCAUCCAUGCCAGGAACCAUGCUAGGGGCUGAUUAAUUUACAUCAAUCACCAUGACUUUUUUCCCACAAACUAACACACACACAAUCUUCAUAGAUUUUUCUGUGAUCACAGCAAGGAAAAGACCUACGCAUGUUUGGAUCAUCUGUGUACAGUCCUACAGAAGAACUUUGACACUAUCAGAGACAGAAAUCUCAGAAUAGUCCAACUCUCACUUAUUUGUGCUAAUGAAAGAGUAAAGUAAAAGAGACAAUUAAAAUGGGAAAUGUGUUUUGUUUUGUUU